AGACGUAGGGGGCGAGCGUUGUCCGGAAUUACUGGGCGUAAAGAGCACGUAGGCGGGAACUUAAGUCAGGUGUGAAAGACCGGGGCUCAACUCCGGGGUGGCACUUGAAACUGGGUUUCUUGAGGGCAGGAGAGGAAAGCAGAAUUCCUGGUGUAGCGGUGAAAUGCGUAGAAAUCAGGAGGAAUACCAGUGGCGAAGGCGGCUUUCUGGACUGACCCUGACGCUGAGGCGCGAAAGCGUGGGUAGCAAACAGGAUUAGAUACCCUGGUAGUCCACGCUGUAAACGAUGGAUACUAGGUGUAGGAGGUAUCGACCCCUUCUGUGCCGCAGCUAACGCAAUAAGUAUCCCGCCUGGGGAGUACGAUCGCAAGGUUGAA
rnacentral:rRNA from 1 species